rnacentral:rRNA from 1 species
AGGAGUGAACGCUGGCGGCGUGCCUAACACAUGCAAGUCGAGCGAGAUUGUAUGGGAGUUCACUUCAUAUGAUCUAGCGGCGGACGGGUGAGUAACGCGUAGGUAACUUACCUCUUACAGGGGGAUAACACUUAGAAAUAGGGUGCUAAUACCACAUAAUACCGAAUUGAGGCAUCUUAAUUUGGUCAAAGGAGCAAUCUGGUGAGAGAUAGACCUGCGUUCGAUUAGCUAGUUGGUAAGGUAGAGGCUUACCAAGGCGACGAUCGAUAGCCGAACUGAGAGGUUGAUCGGCCACAUUGGGACUGAGACACGGCCCAAACUCCUACGGGAGGCAGCAGUGGGGAAUAUUGCUCAAUGGAGGAAACUCUGAAGCAGCAACGCCGCGUGAAGGAAGAAGGCUUUCGGGUUGUAAACUUCUUUGAAUGGUGACGAAUAAAUGACGGUAGCCAUAAAACAAGCCACGGCUAACUACGUG